rnacentral:lncRNA from 1 species
CUGUGUCUCUCAUGAAUAAAUAAAUAAAAUCUUUAAAAAAAUAAGAAUAUGAAACCUGUGUAUAGGUGGAGAGGAAGUAGGAUGAUCCAUCUGGAGACUAGAGACUGAGCUAAGGCAAGGAGGCAGGAAUGAGCAUGGCAUAUUUGAGGGAAGGUGAGGAGUUACUUGAGACAAAGGUGACAGGGCUGGAAAGACAGGUGUGGGUCAGAUCCUGAGGGAUCUUGAGUGCCAGAUACAAUCUGUUCUAUACCAAUGGCAGAAGAGCACUACAAAGGGACAUGCAUUAGUUCAGGGAAAUUUACUGGCUGGAUGCGCAAGAUAACAUAGAAAGUGGAAAAUAAUAGAGUCAAAGAGAUCAACUGAAAGACUAUUACGGUAAUGCUGAGAGACAUGAAGGAGGCCUAGGUCAGGGUUAUGGCAGGGGAAACAAGAAGUAAAUUGUGAAAAACAGCUUAGGAGAAGGUCAUCGGUAUUCAGUUACCUACUGGAAAGGAUGCAGUGGUGAGGAAGUGGAAAGAACAGGCAAAAGAGAAGUGGAAACGAAUCCAAGCUGCAAGCCUGACUAAGGAGAAGAAAACAGUACCUGUGAUUUAAAAGAUGAAGCCCCAAAGGGAGAAAUAAGAAAUGACCGAUACUUUGAAAUUUAUAGAUUCGAGGUUGGAACUGUGAGAAAAAUCACUCAAAUAAAAAUGGCCUUCUGAGAGUUGAAAAUAAGAAGCUAGAAUUCGCGGGAGAGGUCAGAAUUCUAUGUAGAAGUCAUCUAAAUUUGAUUUUUGGAAAUAAUCUCUGUAGAAGUAGUAGCCAAAGUUAUGAGAAUACAAGACCCUUGAAGAAAGGCAACAGGACAAAAAUAGCAAAGGUCAAGGCUGGUUAGCCUAUAAAUUCAAUUGCCAUGAAUUUCUACCUGGUUUAUUCCCAUAAAACGGGCACUGCUGAUAUGUUAGGCUAGAUAAUUCUUUGUUCUGGUGACUACCCUGUGUAUUCCUGAGAAGUUCAGCAGCAUCCCCGGCCUCUACCACUAGGUGCCAGUAACACCCCCUCCCUCAGCUAUGCAACCAAAAAUAUCUCCAGACAUCAUCUAAGAUCUCCUGGGAGGCAAAACCACUCCCAGAGGAGAACCACUGCCCUCAGGGGUGGCCAGUUUCUGUACCCAGAGUGCUGACUUUGAAUCUCACUCAACCUUCUUCUGUUUGAACAAACCUGACAUGUCACUUAAUCUGAGCCACAGUUUCAUCUGCAAAUAGACAGAUAUAAUAAUUGUCCCCACAUUAUAUUGCUGGUGGUAAAGCUAGAUGAUAAUGCAUAUAAAGUGCCUGGCAAGCGAGCGUGCAAGAAGUGGGAGCUGUUACUGUGCUGUAUAAAUAUGAGACAUCACCUACGCUGUGUCUGAGCUCAUUCCCUGUACGUUGAGGCACAGAGAGAGGCCAGAUGACUAGCAACAAAGCAACAAAUGCAGGGUUUUCUUUAGAUAGCACUUCAUUCAAGGCAUAAUAUAAAAUUGAGCCACUAGACAAAUCUUAUUAUUAUAUGUCAUUUUAUAUAUUAGUCAGGUGUUUCUAGGAUCCAAAAGGUCACAUGGGCCUCACAUAUACUUUCCUCUGUGAUGUUAAUAGUGAUAUCUUUCUUUCUCCUUUUUUUUUUUUAAGAGAGAAAGAGAGGAAACUGGGGUGAGUGGCAGAGGGGGUAAGAAGAGAGAGAAUCUUAAGCAGGCUCCAUGCCCAGCGUGGAGUCCAACAUGGGGCUCAGACUCACAACCCUGAAAUCAUGACCUGAACCAAAAUCAAGAAUGAGAUGCUUAACCGACUGAGCCUCCCAGGCACACCACUAGUGAUUUUUGUUUUUAAGAACAAAGACUAAAAUAUGAUAUGUGAUUUAAAAAGCAAAAGACAUAAAAAGGUUACUUCUUAGUUGAGUUAAAAAUUUAAGAAUCAUCUGGAAAAGAUUUUAAUUUGUGUUCGCUUUACAUUAGCUCAGCAUUUCAGUAAGUGGGAACAAUGCCACUCCACAUAUAAUAUGUUAGGCCCCUGUGCCACGUAUUGUGCUAGGUUGGACUAGAAAGAGGAAGCUUCAUGGCUUCUGCUCUCAAAACACAGGUCUAGGGAGGAGAAAGAAUGCCUAAUGCCACAUAAGACCUUAAUACAAAGUGUAUAGGAACUGAGUGAAGUUCUGGUCUCCCCAUGAAAUCCAGACUUAUCUUCACAGGGGGAGUGACAUGACCUGAGAUGAAGAAUGAACAUGCGUUGAUAGGAGGAUAAGUGUUAGGACACAUGUUCCAGACAGAGGGAACACACAGUAUAGACAGUCACAGUCAUAAGAGACAUUGCAACGUGCAGAGAAUUGCAAUUAUUUGUGUUUCUGGAGUGUAAAAUUCAAGGUGGGCAGUUGUAGGAUUGACUCUGAACUCAGGUGGAUGAGGGUUAGAUCGUGAAGGGCCUUGCACAUCAGGCAAAAAUAUCAAACUUCAUCCUGUAAUCCAUGAGGAACCAUUUGGAGAUUACUGUCCAUAGAGUUUGACUACAAACUAGUGAAAGAAAGUUUUGGAAUCAGGUGCUAAUUUUAAUUUGGUUUAGCAUUAGAACUUCUCCUCUUCCUCCUCUUCCUCCCCCUCUCCCUUUUCUUCCUUCUCCUCCUUUACUCCUACUGCUUUAAAUCUGUCCAAGAAAACACUAAAUGGCAUUUUAAAAUAUUGUAUUUUUACAUAACUUCAUAAAAUGCAUGCCAUAAAUAUCACUGUAUCACAGAUAAUUCAAAAUUAAACAAGCACAGGGCGCCUGGGUAGCUCAGUGAGUUAAGCGUCUGUCUUUGGGUUCAGGUCAUGAUCCCAGAGUCCUGGGACUAAGUCCUCAAUAUGACUCCUUGAUCAGCAGGGAAUUGCCUUCUCCCUUUGCCCGCCCCUCCACCCCUCUCAUGGGUGCAGGCAGGCUUCUCUCUCUCUCUCUCAAAAAUAAAUAAAUACAUAUUUUUUUUAAAAAAUAAAGAAGCACAGAAAACAAAUGAAUACAUAAGAUGUGAACUAACACUUUACAGGUUAAAACAUAAAUUGGAAAUAAAAUCUUAACAUCAAAUAAGAAACUACUCCUUUCACGGGAUAACAUAAAGCUAGGUGUUUCUGCAAGGAGCCACCAGAGGGAACUCAAGUGUGGGAUUCUGCUGCAGGCGGCCUCCUAGCGAGCAUGCCUGCCUGCCAGGAAACAGAAUUCUUUUGCAAAUCCGUUUGCCUGGCUUGUCUAUUUUGAUCAAAAUACUUCAGUCUUGCAGAAAUAAUUUAGCUGAUGCCAGAGUCUAUUUAACACACUACAAGGUGGAUCAUUACUGACGCCUGGCCUUGAUCCUGGAAUCAGACUCUCCAUCCCUAUUUCUAGCUCCUGCAUACAGGAGACAACAUUCAAAUAAGCUUCAAGUAAGAUGGAUUGCAGGCUCAGCCUCCAGGUUUACCUCCACCUGCUUGUGUGAGGGGAAUAUGGGGAGAGGAAAGGAAAACAAUGGAACUACAAACUAGGGAAAGGAAACUCUCAUCCCAGACUUACCACAGUUGCUGAGGAACCAGAGAUUAACUGGAGGAAGCUAAAAGCAACUGGAACUUAGGGAAGAGAAAGUGGCACCUGUCCCCUACCAUCUAGUCCACCUUAGACCCAGGGCUGGAACAAAGAGGGGAGGGUGACCUGGAGCUCCUAAGACCCCACAGUCAUCUCUAGUUUGGAAUAUGAGGCUGAAGGCGGUAUAGGACUAUGAAUUGCUUAGCGUUAAAUACAAAACAGCAGAGUGAACUACCCUCAAUAAUAACUUUCGUGGAAAGCAUUUCAUUAAUUCUCAAAAUGACUACAUUUUACUCAGAUCCCACAGUUAAGACUUUCGUUUCAUGAACUAUAGCAUCAGGCCCUGGGGGAAAAAUGGAAAAUUUAUAGGCUCUCCCUUAAUAACUAUCCAGUUGAUACGAUAAAAUACAGAUACAUAAACAGAAAUACAAAGGGAUAGCCGGUGAGUUAGGGCUAGCAUACAUAGCAUAGAGAGAAAAAGAAUAAGAAAGGAUUGAAAUGGUCAAAGAAACCCCCAGGUUGGGUCCACAGAGACAGACACCUGUAGAGAAAGGUGACUCAGGAAAUAUAGAAAAAAAAUAGAUACAAAUCCUCCUUUGGAAAGAUUACCAGGACUUGACAUGGGGCAUAAAUUGAGGGAGAAAUUGUUUUAAAAGGGUCUAUUAGCAGAUGGAAAAGGGUAUUUUUAAGUUGUUCUUUUGAGGGUUAAUCUGAGAAGUAGACAAGAAACCAGAAGGAAUAUUAAUUGACUGGAAGUUCCUACCAAGCCCAUAGUACGUCAGUGGUCUUGAGCAUGUCACCUGAUCCCCUUGGACCUGUGCAUCUGUAAUGUGGGGCUUCUCAAAUCUAUUGUGCAGAGUUGUUUUAAGGAAUAGUGAGAUAAUGUGUGAAGGGUACCCAGCAAGAGCAGGCACUGAAUAAAUAAAUAAAUAUAAAUAAAUAAAUAAAUAAAUAAAUAAAUAAAUAAAUAAAUAAAUAAAAAUAAAUAAAAAUAAAUAAAUAAAUAAAUAAAUAACUAUAACAAACUCAUCGUAAUGAUGGCAAUAGUAGGUAUGCUCAUCCUUGCGUUUCUCAGCCUUACUCCCUUUCCCUGGAGCCUAUCCAAACCUAAGGACAUGCCACUUAUUCUCUGAGGCCUCAGUAUCUGAAAGAAUAAAAACAAGAUAAUAUUAUUUUACUUUUUACAGAUACACGAAGUUCUUAGCGAUAUUAAUGUUUUCACCU